AGUCAAGUAAUUAAGUGCAUGUGGUGGAUGCCUUGGCAGUCAGAGGCGAUGAAAGACGUGAUAGCCUGCGAAAAGCUCCGGGGAGGCGGCAAAUAUCCUUUGAUCCGGAGAUGUCUGAAUGGGGGAACCCACCUACUUUAAGGUAGGUAUUGCAACAUGAAUACAUAGUGUUGCAAGGCGAACGAGGGGAAGUGAAACAUCUCAGUACCCUUAGGAAAAGAAAUCAAUUGAGAUUCCCUCAGUAGCGGCGAGCGAACGGGGAUCAGCCCAUUAAGUUAUGUGUGUUUUAGUGGAACGCUCUGGGAAGUGCGAACGUAGAGGGUGAUAUUCCCGUACACGAAAGGGCACACAUAAUGAUGACGAGUAGGGCGAGGCACGUGAAACCUUGUCUGAAUAUGGGGGGACCAUCCUCCAAGGCUAAAUACUCCUGACUGACCGAUAGUGAACCAGUACCGUGAGGGAAAGGCGAAAAGAACCCCUGUGAGGGGAGUGAAAUAGAUCCUGAAACCGCAUGCAUACAAGCAGUGGGAGCACCUUCGUGGUGUGACUGCGUACCUUUUGUAUAAUGGGUCAGCGACUUAUAUUCAGUAGCGAGGUUAACCGUAUAGGGGAGCCGUAGAGAAAUCGAGUCUUAAUAGGGCGUUUAGUUGCUGGGUAUAGACCCGAAACCAGGCGAUCUAUCCAUGAGCAGGUUGAAGGUUGGGUAACACUAACUGGAGGACCGAACCCACUGUCGUUGAAAAGCCAGGGGAUGACUUGUGGAUAGGGGUGAAAGGCUAAUCAAGCCUGGUGAUAGCUGGUUCUCCCCGAAAGCUAUUUAGGUAGCGCCUCGGACGAAUACCAUAGGGGGUAGAGCACUGUUUCGGCUAGGGGGUCAUCCCGACUUACCAAACCGAUGCAAACUCCGAAUACCUAUGAGUACUAUCCGGGAGACAGACUGCGGGUGCUAACGUCCGUAGUCAAGAGGAAAACAAUCCAGACCGCCAGCUAAGGCCCCAAAAUCAUAGUUAAGUGGGAAACGAUGUGGGAAGGCAUAGACAGCUAGGAGGUUGGCUUAGAAGCAGCCACCCUUUAAAGAAAGCGUAAUAGCUCACUAGUCGAGUCGGCCUGCGCGGAAGAUGUAACGGGGCUAAAACUAUGUGCCGAAGCUGCGGAUGUAUACUUUGUAUACGUGGUAGGGGAGCGUUCUGUAAGCCGAUGAAGGUGUGUUGAGAAGCAUGCUGGAGGUAUCAGAAGUGCGAAUGCUGACGUGAGUAACGACAAAACGGGUGAAAAACCCGUUCGCCGAAAGACCAAGGGUUCCAGUCCAACGUUAAUCGGGGCUGGGUGAGUCGACCCCUAAGGCGAGGCCGAAAGGCGUAGUCGAUGGGAAAA
rnacentral:rRNA from 1 species